rnacentral:rRNA from 1 species
AGUGAACGCUGGCGGUAGGCCUAACACAUGCAAGUCGAACGGCAGCACAGUAAGAGCUUGCUCUUACGGGUGGCGAGUGGCGGACGGGUGAGGAAUACAUCGGAAUCUACUUUUUCGUGGGGGAUAACGUAGGGAAACUUACGCUAAUACCGCAUACGACCUACGGGUGAAAGCAGGGGAUCUUCGGACCUUGCGCGAUUGAAUGAGCCGAUGUCGGAUUAGCUAGUUGGCGGGGUAAAGGCCCACCAAGGCGACGAUCCGUAGCUGGUCUGAGAGAAGGAUCACCCACACUGGAACUGAGACACGUUCCGGACUCCUACGGGAGGCAGCGGUGGGGAAUAUUGGACAAGGGGCGCAAGCCUGAUCCAGCCAUACCGCGUGGGUGAAGAAGGCCUUCGGGUUGUAAAGCCCUUUUGUUGGGAAAAAAAAGCAGCAGGUUAAUACCCCGCUGUUCGGACGGUACCCAAAGAAUAAGCACCGGCUAACUUCGU